ACAAUCCCACAGGGGUCUACGAUGCCUGGAAGAUGAGCUCUUUAGGACACUCAGACAGAAUGGCAGGGAAGCCUAACCUCUUACUUUCCAGCACACAACUUCUUGUAACAGUGAGACCGAUUUACCCAUUCCUGGAGAUUGAACCUGGGCAAACCUUUUCAGCUUUUAGAGUGUUCCCCCAAAUAGAAAGAUAAUAAAUGAGCUUGUACCUCUUAUAAAAGCUCUGAGACUGAGGUUACCCACUAUCAAGACUCUUUUUCUCUGCAGGAUUCACCCAGAAGACUGGACCUUAUUCUACAAAAUAUGAUCCUCAGAGCAGCAAAGAAUGGCAGUACAGGGGAGCUUGGUGAAAUACACAAUCUUGGGCCCUGUCUAGGGAUCUAUAUUCUAGCAAGUCCCCAGGUAAGAUAGGUGGAGAGGAAGGUUGAGACUCACUGAACUAGAAAACUUCUACCAUAAGCUCUCCUGAUAGGGAAAAGCUGGAGAACUUGACCUUUGAACCCCAAAUGAUGCCUGUCAGCAGCCUUCCAUUCAUGUUCUGUAGGAGCUUAACUAAUUCUGUGUUAAUAAAUAUUAGGUCAGUUUGUUUGGGGUCCAGUUCCGGUAGGGUUCUUCAGCCAAUUCCUGAAUGUCUUUCCCUUAUUGAGAGGGCUAGAUGAGGAUUUCAGUGGGAUAAGAGGGAACAGUGCCAGUUCAUCUAGACAUCUUGCUCUGUGACCAAACCCUCCCCUUUGUCCUCCCACUGUGGGAAGCCCUAAUGUCUCAAUCUUUCUCCUCCAUAGAGGCAGCAUUCAACUAUCCCUCAUCAUGUGUUUUACAUAAUUGGAACAAAGAGGUGACAUCAUAUGCUGGAGAGAACCCGGCUUGGGGAUCAAAAAAUUUGGAAAAUUCUCCUAUUUGCUCUGUUGAACAAUGAUUAACACAGAGGCUGCAAAGGAAGAAAGUGCCUUAUUUGGGACUUAGGAAUUACAAUUCGGGAGACACAGACUCAGGCUGCCUCCAGGUUCACAGCUGGCAUCAGCACACUGACUGGAGAGUCUUGAGGUCCCAGCUAAGUCCACAGCACCAACUCUGCUGUGACAGUGGGAAGAACUGGAAUUUCAAACUGCAUGGUGACCCAGUUACACAUACAUCGACAGAUGAUUGGAUUAAGAAGAUGUUUUGUUUUUGGAAACAGAGAAAAGGCAGAAGGUACCACAAGAGUAAUUCACAGGUUAACAUCUGGAGUAUGUCCAGGCUUAUAUGCUGUCUGCACACAAUAUUUAAUGGUUGGCUCAAGUUUUCCUUCACCUAAGGCUGCAAGGAAAUUAACAUUUGCAAGAUUGUGGGUUUUGAGCCAAAUUACACAGUAAGUGCCAUUUCUUAAAGAAAAAAAGCUUGAGAUGUUUAUGUGAGUAAAUCUCUCAGAGCCAAUAGCUAAACAGUUAUUUGUAGUGCUCUGAAAAAUCUUCCUUCUUUUUCUUGUUCAAGGAACAGACUAUUAAAGAGAUUAAUAAACAGUGAUGAAUAUUAUUCUAUUCAGAAGAUUUAUUCAAUUAUACUCCAUUUUUUCUUCUCUUUCCACCUGGCUGAGCUGGCAGUUUUUGUAUUUACUUUUCUAAGUGUAAGCAUGCAAUGCACAUGAAGGUAUAAGCUAGUAGAAGAGGUGAGAAAUAUCUAAAGGCAUUUAUAUAUAUGGACAAAGGUGACCGCCAAUUCUGUAAUUUUUCAUGUGAUCAUAUUAUUAGAAGGAAUUUCAUGAGUUUUCUUUUGUAGGUUGGGUUUGUAUGUAGCCCAUAUAUAUAUGAUGUGAGGUGUGGUAUGAGGUAGAUGAAUGAAGAGAACAGCUCACUUGAUAUUGACUCUCCCAUUGGCUAUGUGCCAUCUCAAAUAUUAUUCCCUUCAACUGCAGAUGGUUUAAGUCUGCUAUUUUUCUCUGCCUUUCAAACUCCUCAAAGCUGGUAUGUCUCAGAGGUUCUUUCUCAAAAAUUUUCCAGUUUCAUUCCUUGUGUUUGGUACUAGGGCAGAUAGUGUCAUAUUUCCAUAAUUAACAAACACUUGUCCCCAAAUGUUCACAUUUAGAGUGGGUUUAGAUUGUUAAAUAUUUAAAAAACAUAUUUGAUAUAUUUUGAGAGAAAAGAGGUAAUGAAUUUCACCUUUAAAGAUGUGCUAAAAUAAAUACACAAUAAUUUCUAUAACAUUAUAACCAUAGACUCAGUGAAAGAAAUUCUUCUAUUGGAAGGAGA